UGCAAUCCUCCUGCCUCAGCCUCCUGAGUCACUGGGAUUACAGGGACAGUGGGCUCAUCCUGGAAGAAGGACGGACCCAGAAGCUUCUCCUGGGACCCCUGGACACUCGUUCCUGCUCUUGGCAGGAGUUUACACCUCCCAAUCACUUGCCUCUUCUGCCUACCGCUCACUUGGCCAAAGUGACGCCGCCUGUGCAGCUUCUAAAUCCACUCUGAGCACCUGGAGAAGGGGUGUGUGCUGUGGCUGCAGCAGCAGCCGCUUCGUGCCGCAGAGGAAUCCUGCACAAGGAGACUCCUGCUCCUGCUCCUGCUCCGGGGCAGGGGUGCCAGGGAAUGCUACCUCUAAUUUCCGAUAGUGCUGACCUUUGUUCUCCAYCGUCACUUUCAUUAAAUAUCUGCUGCCUCACCGGAGGAAAAUUCCCAAUCACCCUCCCCGUCUCKGCCGGCAGACACUUGGGCUGAUUAAGUAAUAAGCUGAUUUCACGAAGAGGAGGCCAUCUCCGCAGCAUCGGGUCAAGGGCUCGCCCCGCUCGCCCUGCUCUGCAGACAGAGGGGCUGUGCGGCAGCCUGGGCCCUGCCCAGGGUAUUCAGACCCGCCCUGCAGCCUGUCCUCCACCCUGACCUCAGUCCCACCCCAAGCCCGGGAGACCCCAUGUGGGUGUCCUGGUGUGUCUCUGCCCCGGCAGGAUCUUUAGCUGAGGGCUAAAGUGGGAUUCUCUGGAGUUUCCACCAUUGCCACCAACAUCACCGUCACAGCCACCCUCCUGACCCUCACUGCCACCACCACCAUGUUGUCCACCUCACCAGGUCCACCGCCACCACUAGGUGGUCCACCUGGUCCACUGCAAGUCCAGGCCSCACCUGACCCCUCCGUCCUGACCAUUGCCAAUCUCCCUGUGUGGGGGGCUGGGCUGAGUCGGGUGCCAACCUGUGCCGAGUGACUCUGGGGACCUGGUGGCAGGGAACCUUCUGGCAAGGCUGGUGUGGGGAACUCUGAGGCAGCUUGGGAGUCUGGUGGCUCCCAGGGGUCCYGGUGGCCAUCAGAGGGCUCAGACACAGCUCUGCCCUUUCAAUCACCUAAUGUCCCCAGCUUGUCCCCAGAGGAGGGCUUGCUGGUACGCUGGAGAGGAGAYGGGCCAGGUGCCUGGGGUGGAGGGGGUGUGGGGGACUGCGGCCCCCUCUCCUGAUGCUGUCCCAGAUCAGGGCUGUGUCAGAUCCCUCCCCGUCACUGGCUCCUCAGGACCCUCUACGGCCACGUGGAGCAGUGGUUCUGAACUUCAGGGACCGUACGUACCCCUCGGGGGACGUUUGUUAAUGUCUAGUGACACUUUGGGUGCAUGCUGCUCGAAUCCAGGGGACAGAAGCCGGGGAUGUGGGUGACAGCACAGAUGCACGGGGAGCCCCACGAGGAGGAGCCGGCCGACUGCAGCCUGCGGGAAGGAGACCCAGCCGGGCUCUUUCUUGUCUUUUCUUUCUUUUUCCCCUUGAACCAGCGGCACCCUGGGUCACCCAGGCUGGCCUUGAACUCCUGGGCUCCAAUGAUCCUCCUGCCUCAGCCUCCCAAGCUGCUGGGAUUCCCGGCAGGCACCACUGUGUGCUUUCCAUCCCCCAGACUCCAGCUCUGCCCCCCUGAAACAACCAGGCCUCCUCCCCUCUCCUAAGCCCUGCAGCCACCAGUCUACUUUCUGUUUCUAUGACUGGGACCACUUUAGGGACUUCAUAAAGGUGGAGCCCUACAUGACUUGUCCUUUUGUGACUGGCUUACUACACUCAGCCAAUGUCCUGAGACCCAUCCACAUCAGAGCAUGUGGCAGGAUCUCCUUCCUCUUUAGGGCUAGGUAAUAUUCCAUUCCAAAUACAGACUCGGUCUCAGGGGGUACUAGGGAUUGAACCAGGGGCUUCACCACUGAGCCAC